UACGGAGGGUGCGAGCGUUGUCCGGAAUCAUUGGGCGUAAAGGGCGCGUAGGUGGCCCGUUCAGUUCGUGGUGAAAGCGCGGGGCUCAACCCUGCGUCGGCCAUGAAUACUGCCGCGGCUGGAGCACUGUAGAGGCAGGCGGAAUUCCGGGUGUAGCGGUGGAAUGCGUAGAGAUCCGGAAGAACACCGGUGGCGAAGGCGGCCUGCUGGGCAGUUGCUGACACUGAGGCGCGACAGCGUGGGGAGCAAACAGG
rnacentral:rRNA from 1 species